CACGUCUUAAGUCCCUCAUCCUGUGGCAUAGGAAUUCACCAAAACACAUACCAACUCCUUGUGAUGCAACACACAUCAAAGUUACUGGUGAACGCAGCAGGCCAGGCAGCAUCUAUAGGAAGAGGCGCAGUCGACGUUUCAGGCCGAGACCCUUCGUCAGGACUAACUGAAGGAAGAAUGAACAACUUAGUUUGAUAUGAGCACCGAGAUUCCAAGGAUAUUCUCAGAAUUUCUACUCCUCAGAAUGUCCCAUGAAGGAAAAACUAUGCUUCCCAGAUCUUCACAUGCAUCAGAAAUCUAAAGAGCUUCAUACGCUAAUGCAUUUCACUGCAGCGGAAAUGUUAAUAUUUGAAAUGGUUGCACUACAAAAAUUAUGGGGGUGGAACAAAGGUUAUAAAUAUCAUUGAAUCAAAAUGUUUCCAUUUAUCUGUCAUUAAUACAUUGAAGUAAGUUAUCUGAAUGAACCACAAUUGUAAAACACUACAAAAACACUUCUGAAAAAUAGCCAUCAAGGCAACUAUUAAAAAGUACAUGAAAGUCCUGUGGAAUGGAAUGAUGCCUCGUUGUUUUGCAAAAUAUUACA